rnacentral:rRNA from 2 species
GAUGAAGAACGCAGCGAAAUGCGAUAAGUAAUGUGAAUUGCAGAAUUCAGUGAAUCAUCGAAUCUUUGAACGCACCUUGCGCUCCUUGGUAUUCCGAGGAGCAUGCCUGUUUGAGUGUCAUUAAAUUCUCAACCUUACCAGUUUUGUUAUGAGACUGUGUA